GACGAACGCUGGCGGCGUGCCUAAUACAUGCAAGUCGAGCGAAUCAAUAGGAGCUUGCUCCUGUUGAUUAGCGGCGGACGGGUGAGUAACACGUGGGCAACCUGCCUGUAAGACUGGGAUAACUUCGGGAAACCGGAGCUAAUACCGGAUAAUCCUUUUCCUCUCAUGAGGAAAAGCUGAAAGUCGGUUUCGGCUGACACUUACAGAUGGGCCCGCGGCGCAUUAGCUAGUUGGUGAGGUAACGGCUCACCUAGGCGACGAUGCGUAGCCGACCUGAGAGGGGGAUCGGCCAGACUGGGACUGAGGCACGGCCCAGACUCCUACGGGAGGCAGCAGUAGGGAAUCUUCCGCAAUGGACGAAAGUCUGACGGAGCAACGCCGCGUGAGCGAUGAAGGCCUUCGGGUCGUAAAGCUCUGUUGUUAGGGAAGAACAAGUAUCGGAGUAACUGCCGGUACCUUGACGGUACCUAACCAGAAAGCCACGGCUAACUACGUGCCAGCCGCCGCGGUAA
rnacentral:rRNA from 1 species